UAAUAAAAUAAUUUUAAAAAAAUCAAGAAAAAAAGAAAACUGACACGUCAUCAAUUUUGAACAGUACCAGUUACCGUUUUGACUUGAUGUAUUGUGUAUAAGUAAGCCAUGUUGGAGGUUUCUUUUGGUAAAAGUGUCGUUUUGAAGGUUUAAAGUGUUUUUGAAAUACUUGAAUGUUUAAAGUCUAAGUGGCUGCCACCUUCAAGGUUUUUUAUGCGAUUUUCCCUUAGAAGUUAUAUAUAUACCUCAACUGAAAGAAUCAAUUGCUGAUAUACUCUUGAUCCAAAAAUACUAUUCUCAUAUACUCCUCUCUUUUAAUUCUUUUCCUUUUCAUUUAUUUUUAAUUCGAAAAAUAAGUAGAAGUUCAAUUGACCCUUGAUGAAUUUACUUAUUUACGGAACAUACCAUUUAACCUAAUUCAAUUUCAUUCUCCUAAAUUAUAGAUCCACGUUUCUUUUUCCCAUUCUCUUUUAUCUUCUUCAAUUCUACUAUCUCUCUCUAUUGUUCUUCUUUUCCUUCUCAUUUUUCUCUUUUUUUCUCCUUCUUCUUGUUAUUUUUCUCCUCCUCGGCCUAUUUCUCUUCCUCUUUCUUCCCCUCUGUUUCUGCUUCUUCUUUGUGCUCCUCUUCUAUUUUCUCUUCAUCUUCCUUCUCUGCCGCCUUUCCUCCUCUUUCAUCUCCGUUUUUUCCUCCUUCUCCUCUUCUGCCUCAUUUUCCUUCUUCUCUGCAUAUUCCU
rnacentral:lncRNA from 1 species